rnacentral:rRNA from 1 species
UACGUAGGCAGCAGGCGUUGUUCGGAAUUACUGGGCGUAAAGAGUGUGUAGGCGGUGUUCUAAGUCUGUUGUGAAAUCUCCCGGCUUAACUGGGAGGGUGCGGCGGAAACUGGAAUGCUAGAGGAUGGGAGAGGUAAGCGGAAUUCCUGGUGUAGCGGUGAAAUGCGUAGAUAUCAGGAGGAACACCUGUGGUGUAGACAGCUUACUGGACCAUUUCUGACGCUGAGACACGAAAGCGUGGGUAGCAAACAGG